rnacentral:tRNA from 4 species
GGAUAGUUGGCUGAGUGGACGAAAGCAGUCGGUUGCUAACCGAUCGGGUGGGUCAUAUGGCUGUCGCCCCGCAGGUUCGAAUCCUGCACUAUCCGCCA